rnacentral:rRNA from 1 species
UACGAAGGUCCCAAGCGUUAUCCGGAUUUAUUGGGUUUAAAGGGUGCGUAGGCGGCUUAUUAAGUCAGUGGUGAAAGCCCCAAGCUUAACUUGGGAACUGCCAUUGAUACUGAUGAGCUUGGGUAGAUUUGAGGCGGGCGGAAUGUGUCGUGUAGCGGUGAAAUGCUUAGAUAUGACACAGAACACCAAUUGCGUAGGCAGCUCGCUAAACUCUUACUGACGCUGAGGCACGAAAGCAUGGGGAUCAAACAGG